rnacentral:rRNA from 1 species
UACGUAGGGGGCAAGCGUUAUCCGGAUUCAUUGGGCGUAAAGAGCGCGUAGGCGGAUUGUUAAGCGAGAUGUGAAAACCGGGGGCUCAACCCGCGGCCUGCAUCUCGAACUGGCAGUCUUGAGUCUGGUAGAGGAAAGUGGAAUUCCCAGUGUAGCGGUGAAAUGCGCAGAUAUUGGGAGGAACACCAGUGGCGAAGGCGGCUUUCUGGGCCACGACUGACGCUGAGGCGCGAAAGCUAGGGGAGCGAACAGG